AGAGUUUGAUCAUGGCUCAGGACGAACGCUGGCGGCGUGCCUAACACAUGCAAGUCGAACGGGACCGGGGGCAACUCCGGUUCAGUGGCAGAUGGGUGCGUAACGCGUGAGGAACUUGUCCAACGGUGGGGGAUAGCCGGCCCAACGGCCGGGUAAUACCGCAUACGCUCGUUCGGGGGCAUCCCUGGGCGAGGAACGCAGCCGCAAGGUUGCGCCGAUGGAGAGCCUCGCGACCUAUCAGCUAGUUGGCGGGGUAACGGCCCACCAAGGCGACGACGGGUAGCUGGUCUGAGAGGAUGGCCAGCCACAUUGGGACUGAGACACGGCCCAGACUCCUACGGGAGGCAGCAGUGGGGAAUAUUGCGCAAUGGCCGAAAGGCUGACGCAGCGACGCCGCGUGUGGGAUGACGGCCCUCGGGUUGUAAGCCACUGUCGGGGGGGACGAAUACGGGGCCUCGAAUAGGGGACCCUGGGUGACGGUACCUCCAAAGGAAGCACCGGCUAACUCCGUGCCAGCAGCCGCGGUAAUACGGAGGGUGCGAGCGUUGUCCGGAAUCACUGGGCGUAAAGGGCGCGUAGGCGGUCCGUUAAGUUGCUGGUGAAAUCCCGGGGCUCAACUCCGGGGCUGCCGGCAAGACUGGCGGGCUCGAGCACGGUAGAGGCAGAUGGAAUUCCCGGUGUAGCGGUGGAAUGCGUAGAUAUCGGGAAGAAUACCGGUGGCGAAGGCGUUCUGCUGGGCCGUUGCUGACGCUGAGGCGCGACAGCGUGGGGAGCAAACAGGAUUAGAUACCCUAGUAGUCC
rnacentral:rRNA from 1 species